CGACGUUAACUGCCGCUGAAGCGCUCUGAUUGCUCGCGGAUAUCCUCAGUAAUGACUUCCCGAUGGUUUGCACGCCGGAUUUGAAUCCUACUCUGUUUAAUCGGAAAACUGACGGUUUUGCGAGAGAACAAUGACGGAGAGGAGGUGUCUCGCGGCGAAGCGCGGGAGUUGUGGCGGUGGUUGUUGCAAGCGCAGUGUUCAUUUUUCAGUCUACCGCUAAUUUCACGAAACGGCUUAUCUCUUUCGCUUCCUCUGCUGAGGAGCUCACUACGAUUUCGUGAAAGGAACGUUUGAUCUCUGGGAACUCGACUUCAAGACCACCCCUGCUUUUUCCUUUUCUUAAAACAUUCCUACUCAUGUUUUCUCUAUGUUUACUACUUUUGUGUCUUCUCUAGUCUCGUUUGAUCUCUGUAAUGAAAAAGCUAUAAAUAGCAUUUUAGUUUCCAUAUUCAUAUGAGUUUAUAACUCAAAACCCUCUACAACGACUUUUGACGCUUGUUUAAUUAGCUUAACAUAUAAAUAAGGCUACACUUAAGCAACUCAAGGGAUAGGAUAUACAACGACCUUCCCUGUGGCAUGGUUCGUUUCUAGGUAUGAGAAAGCAUCAGCCACACGUGAGAAUGGAAAAGGUCCUUUGGGAUCAACCACAGGCUUCACCUUCCCACUCUCAAUGUAUGGAUUCAGUUUCUUCAGAACAUCGCCGUUAGAUGUCACAACGAAUCUGAAACCAGGAGGCGUGACGGCUCCGGUCAAGGCCACAACUUUCCCUCCUUCCUUUAUCACCUUCACCGCCUUAUCACACAUCCCUUUUUGACAAAACAAAACAAAAAAAACAGUGUUCUUGAUUACUUGUACAAGAAACUACAUUCAUGUGUUAUUUUGUUUUCGUGUUUGCUUACCAAUGGCGUCAAAGACGACAUCGAAUCUCUCAGUCAAGUCUUCAAUGUUCUCCUUGGUGUAAUCAAUAGCUAAAUCAGCACCUAAGCUUCUCACCAGCUCUAGCUUCCCGGUGCUCGCUGUUGCAGCCACCUUCGAAGCUCCGUAGACGUGCUUCGCAAGCUGUGUUCCAUAUACGAAACGUGAGGGAAUCAAUCAAGAACCAUUGAGAAACGAGAAUUGGUUUUUUUUUUUUUAACCUGAAUCGCAAGGCUUCCUACUCCUCCGGCGCCGUUGAGAACGAGAAUUGAUUUCCCGGCGGAGAACUCCGUCCUAACGAGACCUUCGUCGGCGGUUUCAAUAGCAAGCGGAAGCCCCGCGGCUUGAGCGAAAUCGAUGUUUUUAGGCUUUAAGGCUAAAAGCUUCUCUUCCACGGCCGUGUACUCCGCCAGAGAGCCGGAUUGCUUCGGUCCUUCCAACGCUUUCUCGCUCACGUUUGCGUAUACUUCGUCUCCUUGUUUGAAGUCUUUCACCGCGCUUCCCACCUUCACCACUACUCCUGCGACGUCGUAUCCAGGAACCGUCUGCUCCAGUCCAACAACGAAAAUUCAAAAUAAGAAUCUGAAAUCUUCUUCUAUGCCCGCGAGCAGGGCCGGCCCAUGAAGCAAAUGUCAAAAAGCCCAUCCAAGUUAAAUUAAUUUUCAGUUUUUAUUGGAGAGAUAUUUCUUAAAUUUACCGGGAGAGGCGAAUCGGUGGCUUUGAACUUUCCUUGCCGUCUCUUUGCGUCGACGGGAUUAAGAGCCGCCGCAACAACUUUGAUCAAUACCUGAUCAUCGUUAACCACCGGAACAGCAAUGUUGCUCUCUACCUUCAGAACAUCCACUCCGCCGUAUUCACUGUACACCCAAGCCUUCAUCUCGCUUGGAAUUGAAGUAUCCGCCGCGACGUUAACUGCCGCUGAAGCGCUCUGAUUGCUCGCGGAUAUCCUCAGUAAUGACUUCCCGAUGGUUUGCACGCCGGAUUUGAAUCCUACUCUGUUUAAUCGGAAAACUGACGGUUUUGCGAGAGAACAAUGACGGAGAGGAGGUGUCUCGCGGCGAAGCGCGGGAGUUGUGGCGGUGGUUGUUGCAAGCGCAGUGUUCAUUUUUCAGUCUACCGCUAAUUUCACGAAACGGCUUAUCUCUUUCGCUUCCUCUGCUUUUUAUUCGAAUUCAAUCAACUACCAUGUCUCGUGGCGUUCUCUGAUUGGUCACUGUUUUCUGUGGUUGUCGUUUUAAUCUUUUAAUAAGAAAAGUUGUGGC
rnacentral:lncRNA from 1 species